rnacentral:rRNA from 1 species
UAGAAAAGGGCGCAUGGGGGAUGUCUAGGUAUCAGAAGAAUUUGAAGGACGUGGAAGACUGCGAUAAGCCAGGGGUAGUUGCCAAACAAACAUUGAACCCUGGAUUUCCGAACUGUCAUACAUUGAAUACAUAGGUGUAUGUCUUAAACCUAGGGAACUGAAACAUCUAAGUACCUAGAGGAAAAGAAAGAAAAAUCGAUUCCGUAAGUAGCGGCGAGCGAAAGCGGAACAGCCCAAACCGCGGGGAUUUUCCCUGCGGGGUUGUAGGACUUCUCUUUAAGAACAAGAACAAUUAGCAGAACAGAGUUGAAAGCCGGACCACAGAGGGUGUUAGUCCCGUAAGCGAAAAUUGCGUUUUGUUUUGAGAAGUAUCCUGAGUAGGUCGGGUCACGUGAAAACCUGACUGAAUCAACGGAGCCCAUUCCGUAAGGCUAAAUACUCUCUGAUAACCGAUAGUGAACCAAGUAGAGCGAUCGAAAGACGAAAAGAACCCCGACUAAGGGGAGUGAAAUAGAAUCUGAAACCGUGUGCCUACAAGCGGUCGGAGCGCAAUCCCGUAAGGGUAAUGCGUGACGGCGUGCCUUUUGCAUAAUGAUCCGGCGAGUUGGCGUAAUCAGCCCGGUUAAGGUGUUCCGCACCGAAGCCACAGGGAAACCGAGUUUGAAAUGAGCGUAUGUUGAUUGUGCCAGACGCGAACCCCAGUGAACUACCUAUGAGCAGGUUGAAGUACGGGUUAAACUGUAUGGAGGACCGAACCCACUUGGGUUGAAAACCGAGGGGAUGACUUGUGGGGAGGAGUGAAAGUCUAAUCAAACUGGGAGAUAGCUCGUUCUCUUCGAAAUAGCUUUAGGGCUAGCCUUGAAUUAACUAUGAUACGGGGGUAGAGAUACUGAAUUGGACACCGGGCUUUCCAAAGCUACGGUACCUGACCAAACUCCGAAUACCGUAUUAACUACUUCAGGAGUCAGUCCGCGAGGGAUAAGCUUCGCGGUCGAGAGGGAAACAACCCAGAUCACCAACUAAGGUCCCUAAAUAUGUCUCAGUCACUAAGGAAGUCCGAAUGCCGAGACAGCCAGGAUGUUGGCUUAGAAGCAGCCAUCAUUUAAAAAGUGCGUAACAGCUUACUGGUCGAGCAUUUGGGCGCCGAUAAUGAACGGGAGUAAGACAUAUACCGAAGUUGUGGAAUCGUAAGAUUGGUAGAAGAGCGUUGUUGAGCAGAUACUAGCCGUACUGUAAGGAGCGGUGAUGGGUUCAACAAGUGAUUAUGUCGGAAUGAGUAACGAUAAAACAGGUGAAAAUCCUGUUCGCCGAAAGCCUAAGGUUUCCUGGGGAAGGUAAUUCCGCCCAGGGUCAGCCGGUACCUUAGACGAGACCGAAAGGUGUAGUCGAUGGAUAAUAGGUCAACAUUCCUAUGCUAUUGUUGUGGACAAAUGGAGGGACGGCUUUUGAAUGGUGAGACACCGGAUAGAAAUGGUGGUACACCUGUGAAUCCUAUCGGACGUAAAAUUCCGAGUGAUGGUGAAGCAGGGGUCUCGCUCCUUGUUGGGCGGGUCAUCUGAAGGAAGUCCAAGAAAAUCUUCUAAUGGUUGAAGCAGCAAUAACCGUACUAAAACUGACACAGGUAGGCGAGUAGAGUAUACUAAGGCGCUCGGGAGAAUACUUCUUAAGGAACUCUGCAAAAUGACCCCGUACGUUCGCAAUAAGGGGUACCGGUUGGUGUGUUAAAGCAUCGUCCGGUCACAGUAAAUCGGUAUCAGCAACUGUUUAUCAAAAACACAGGACCGUGCAAACACGCAAGUGGAAGUAUACGGUCUGACGCCUGCCCGGUGCCGGUAAGUCAAGGAAGGAGGUUAUCGUAAGAAAAGCUUCCAACCAAAGCUCCGGUAAACGGCGGCUCUAACCUUGAGAGUCCUAAGGUAGCGAAGUUCCUUGUCGGGCAAGUUCCGACCUGCAUGAAAGGCGUAAUGACUGAUACACUGUCUCAAGAAGUAACCCGGUGAAAUUGUAGUCGUGGUGAAGAUGCCACGUACCCGCAGUAAGACGGAAAGACCCCGUGAACCUUUACUGUAUGCUGAUAUUGGGCUGAGGUAUGAGUUGUGUAGGAUAGGUGGGAGACGUUGAAGUCGGCACGCUAGUGCCGAUGGAGUCAUUGUUGAAAUACCACCCUGUUUAUAUUUUAGUUCUAACGCUGUUUCCCUUGAAUCAGGGCAGCGGACAUUGUCAGUUGGGCAGUUUGACUGGGGCGGUCUCCUCCGAAAGAGUAACGGAGGAGUUCAAAGGUACCCUCAUCCUGUUUGGAAAUCAGGAUAAGAGCGUAAUGGUAGAAGGGUGCUUAACUGCGAGACAUAUAAGUCGAGCAGAUACGAAAGUAGGACAUAGUGAUCCGGUAGUCCCGAAUGGAAGGGCUAUCGCUCAUCAGAUAAAAGGUACUCCGGGGAUAACAGGCUUAUCGCUCCCGAGCGUCCAUAGCGGCGGAGCGGUUUGGCACCUCGAUGUCGGCUCAUCACAUCCUGGGGGUGGAAGAGCUCCCAAGGGUUUGGCUGUUCGCCAAUUAAAGUGGUACGUGAGCUGGGUUCAGACCGUCGUGAGACAGGUCGGUCCCUAUCUGCUGUGGGCGCACGAAACUUGAGGAGAUUCAAUCUUAGUACGAAAGGACUUUAUUGGACUCGGCUCUGGUGUUCCAGUUGUCACGCUAGUGGCACGGCUGGGUAGCUAUCCGGGGAAUGGAUAAACGCUGAAAGCAUAUAAGCGUGAAGUCGGCUCCAAGAUUAGGUUUCGUCAUUAGUCCCCUGGAAGACCACCAGGUUGAUAGGUCGUAUAUGUAAGUUCUGUAAAGGAUUAAGUUAAACGAUACUAAAGGACGAAUUG